rnacentral:lncRNA from 1 species
GCUAAUGGUCCAUUAUGGCACCAGCCAUGUGGAAAUAACAUCUCAGGGCUGCCUCAUCUGAUUUCAUUUUUCCCAAGACAAUAUAAUAGCCUUCCUAAAACACCAAGGUGAAUUACAGGUUCUCAAUAAAUGCUUGCUGAUUGGCUGAUGAUCACGAAGACAGUUGCUUUCUACAAGUGCUUUUGCUAAUGUCCUUGGAGCUGAGAGUCUGUUACCCAUGCCAGUGCAGAGAGGUUCAAUCAAGGUGUUUUUGUUCACCGAGGCAUCUUCGCACUGGUCAAGAACACAGAGACGGGUUCAGCAGGAACACUAUCAGAAAAGAGGCUAGCUUGUGAGCUGAGUCGGCUGCAGCAGCUCUAAA